rnacentral:rRNA from 1 species
GAUGAACGCUGGCGGCGUGCCUAAUACAUGCAAGUCGAUCGAACAGACGAUGUGCUUGCUCCUCUGACGUUAGCGGCGGACGUGUGAUUAACUCGUGGAUAACCUUCCUAUACUACUGGCAUAACUUCGGGAAACCGGAUCUAAUACCUGAUAAUAUAUUGAACCGCAUUGUUCAAUAUUGAAUGACCGUUUUGCUGUCCCUUAUAGAUCCAUCCGCGGCGCAUUAUCUAGUUUGUAAGGUACCGGCUUACCAAGGCAACUAUGCGUAGCCGACCUGAGAGGGUGAUCGGCAACACUGGAACAGAGACACGGUGCAGAGAGCUACGGGAGGCAGCAGUAGGGAAUCUUCCGCAAUGGGGGAAAACCUGACGGAGCAAGGCCGCGUGAGUGAUGAAGGUGUUCGGAUCGAAAAACUAUGUUAUUAGGGAAGAACAAAAGUGUAAGGAAAUAUAGAGGCCUGGACGGUACCUAAGCAGAAAGCCACGGCUAAAUACGUG